rnacentral:rRNA from 1 species
CUACGGGCGGCUGCAGUCGAGGAACUUUUACAAUGCUCGAAAGAGUGAUAAAAUGAGCCAGAGUGUUUUCUUUUAGAAAACUUUUGUCAGUUGCAAAAAGACUGGCGAAUAAGGACUGGGCAAGACCGGUGCCAGCCGCCGCGGUAAUCCCGGCGGUCCAAGUCGCAUCCACAAUUAUUGGGUCUAAAACAUUCGUAGCUUGUUUUAUAAGUCUCUUGUGAAAUUCUACAUCUUAAGUGUGGAGCGUGCAAGAGAUACUGUUUAACUUGGGACCGGAAGACGCAAAGAGUAUGAUGGAGGUAGUGGUAAAAUAUGUUAAUCUCUAUCAGACUAACAACAGCGAAGGCACUUUGCGAGUACGGAUCUGACAGUGAGGAAUGAAGGCUAGGGGCGCGAAAGGGAUUAGAUACCCUAGUAGUC